rnacentral:rRNA from 1 species
CCAGACUCCUACGGGAGGCAGCAGUAGGGAAUUUUGCGCAAUGGGGGAAACCCUGACGCAGCAACGCCGCGUGAUUGAUGAAGCCCUUCGGGGUGUAAAGAUCUGUCAGUGGGGACGAAACUUGACGGUACCCACAGAGGAAGCAUCGGCUAACUACGUGCCAGCAGCCGCGGUAAUACGUAGGGGGCAAGCGUUAUCCGGAUUUACUGGGUGUAAAGGGAGCGUAGACGGAAUUGCAAGUCUGAUGUGAAAAUCCGGGGCCCAACCCCGGAACUGCAUUGGAAACUGUAUUUCUAGAGUGUCGGAGAGGCAAGUGGAAUUCCUGGUGUAGCGGUGAAAUGCGUAGAUAUCAGGAGGAACACCAGUGGCGAAGGCGGCUUGCUGGACGAUGACUGACGUUGAGGCCCGAAGGCGUGGGGAGCAAACAGGAUUAGAUACCCCAGUA